GGCCGCGGUAUUUGGACCGUGCUAAGGUAGCAUAAAAAAUGGUCUUUUAAUUGGAGUCUAGAAUGAAUGGUUGGAAGGAAUAUAAUUUGUCUGCGGGUACAGUAUCGAAUUUUACUUUUAAGUGAAAAGGCUUAAAUUAGGUAGGGGGACGAUAAGACCCUGUGAAGCUUUAUUUUUGUUAUGUUUUGUGUUCAAUAGUUGUGUGAUUGGGCUUGAAUUUAAUAAAUAUUUAAUUGGGGCGAUUGAAAUAUACUUGUAACUGUUUUUAGUGGGAAAAUAAUUGAUUUUUAGGGUGUUGAUCCUGAAUUGCGGAUUAAAAGAUUUAAGUUACUCCAGGGAUAACAGCGUAAUUUUUCUUGAGAGUCCGUAUCGACANAANUAUUUGCGACCUCGAUGUUGAAUUAAGAUUUCGUCAAGGUGUAGAAGUCUUGUUUGUAGGUCUGUUC
rnacentral:rRNA from 1 species